CUUCCGUAGGGUGAACCUGCGGAAGGAUCAUUACCGAGUGUAGGGUUCCUAGCGAGCCCAACCUCCCACCCGUGUUUACUGUACCUUAGUUGCUUCGGCGGGCCCGCCAUUCAUGGCCGCCGGGGGCUCUCAGCCCCGGGCCCGCGCCCGCCGGAGACACCACGAACUCUGUCUGAUCUAGUGAAGUCUGAGUUGAUUGUAUCGCAAUCAGUUAAAACUUUCAACAAUGGAUCUCUUGGUUCCGGCAUCGAUGAAGAACGCAGCGAAAUGCGAUAACUAGUGUGAAUUGCAGAAUUCCGUGAAUCAUCGAGUCUUUGAACGCACAUUGCGCCCCCUGGUAUUCCGGGGGGCAUGCCUGUCCGAGCGUCAUUGCUGCCCAUCAAGCACGGCUUGUGUGUUGGGUCGUCGUCCCCUCUCCGGGGGGGACGGGCCCCAAAGGCAGCGGCGGCACCGCGUCCGAUCCUCGAGCGUAUGGGGCUUUGUCACCCGCUCUGUAGGCCCGGCCGGCGCUUGCCGAACGCAAAUCAAUCUUUUUCCAGGUUGACCUCGGAUCAGGUAGGGAUACCCGCUGAACUUAAGCAUAUCAAUAAGCCGGAGGAGG
rnacentral:rRNA from 1 species